rnacentral:rRNA from 1 species
GAUGAACGCUGGCGGCGUGCCUAAUACAUGCAAGUCGAGCGAACAGACGAGGAGCUUGCUCCUCUGACGUUAGCGGCGGACGGGUGAGUAACACGUGGAUAACCUACCUAUGAGACUGGGAUAACUUCGGGAAACCGGAGCUAAUACCGGAUAAUAUAUUGAACCGCAUGGUUCAAUAGUGAAAGACGGUUUUGCUGUCACUUAUAGAUGGAUCCGCGCCGCAUUAGCUAGUUGGUAAGGUAACGGCUUACCAAGGCAACGAUGCGUAGCCGACCUGAGAGGGUGAUCGGCCACACUGGAACUGAGACACGGUCCAGACUCCUACGGGAGGCAGCAGUAGGGAAUCUUCCGCAAUGGGCGAAAGCCUGACGGAGCAACGCCGCGUGAGUGAUGAAGGUCUUCGGAUCGUAAAACUCUGUUAAUAGGGAAGAACAAAUGUGUAAGUAACUAUGCACGUCUUGACGGUACCUAAUCAGAAAGCCACGGCUAACUACGUG